UACGGAGGGUGCAAGCGUUAUCCGGAUUCACUGGGUUUAAAGGGUGCGUAGGCGGACAUGUAAGUCCGUGGUGAAAUCUCCGAGCUUAACUCGGAAACUGCCAUGGAUACUUUAUGUCUUGAAUGUUGUGGAGGUUAGCGGAAUAUGUCAUGUAGCGGUGAAAUGCAUAGAUAUGACAUAGAACACCAAUUGCGAAGGCAGCUGGCUACACAAAUAUUGACGCUGAGGCACGAAAGCGUGGGGAUCAAACAGG
rnacentral:rRNA from 1 species